ACCUGAAUUGUUUGCAUUAUGCGUGGGUCUUUGGCAGAUAGAGAUGGGGAGACAGGACAUUUCCGCAGAAAGGACAAUGUGCAGGCGUGAUGCAGCAUGAUUUUUCAGGGGGACCAGAAGCAGCCCCGGGCACAGCGGUCACCCCGGUGGAGUCAGCGGCACCAUGAGAGGCGCUACCCAGGAACAGCUCUGUGCACCUUGACUGCUCACCGGCCAAGCCCAAGUCCCUGAGCCUGCUCCUGACACCCAGUCGGCUUGCUUCCCCGCCUCAUCUUUGACUGCUCUUCCUUUCAGUCACCCCUCAUCUUCCUUCUACUUCUAUGCAGGUCCAAGCAUACUUACUGUGGCUUAUUUUGUUCCCUCUGCCUGAAAGAGGUCUCUUCACCUGUCAAACUCCCGGGUACCCUUCAGACUGAGAUGAUUGUCCCCUUGAAUGUGAAUUUCCCUGAGGCAAAACUCACCGGUUCUGCUGCUGCGUCUGUGUUCCUUCAACCCAUUCUCCACACAGGGCCAGAGCCAUCUUAGCUCCAGGCACGUCACCAGUUCACGUCCCAACGAGUUUAGAAUGAGUUCACAUUCUUUGGUGGCCACAUGCCUGCCCUACUGGCUCAUCUCUGACCUCACUCUCACCAUGCUCCUCUUCCUUCUAGCACCAUCGGCCUCCUGGCACUUCCUGGAACUGCCUCAGGUCUUUCCUCUUGCCUCAGGUCCUUUGCACAAAUGAUUCCCUCCUCUCUUUCCCUGGAAUUCUCACUGUGUAUCUUCCAGAUCUCUGCUUAAAUGUCGUCUCCUCAGACAGGCCUUCCACACCUUCCUCUCCAAAAGAGGUUCUCACCAUUGUCUCAUUAUAACAAGGCUAGUCUAAGUCCAUAUAUGCUGCUAUAACAAAACACAUAGAGGGGGCAGCUUGUAAACAACAGAGAUGUAUUUCUCACUGUUCUGCAGGCUGGGAAGUCCAAGGUAAAUGUACUGGCUAAUCUAACGUCUGGUGAAGACCCACUUCCUGGUUCAUAGGUGGUGCCUUCUCACUUCAUUGUCACAUGAUAGAAGGGGUGAGGGAGUUCUCUGGGUCCCUUUUAUAAGGGUGCUAAUCCCAUUCAAGAAGGCUCCACAUUCAUGACCUAAUCACCUCCUAAAGCCCCACCUUCUAAUACCAUGACCAUAUGGUUUUUGCUGUGUCCCCACCCAAAUCUCUUCCUGAAUUAUAGCCCCCACAAUUCCCAUGUGUCAUGGGAGGGACCAGGUAGGAGGUAAUUGAAUCAUGGGGGUGGGUCUUUCUAGUGCUGUUCUCGUGAUAGUGAAUAAGUCUCACGAGAUCUGAUGGUUUUAUAAAGGGGAGUUUCCCGCACAAGUUCUCUUCUCUUGUCCACUGCCAUGUGAGAAGUGUCUUUCACCUUCCACCGUGAUUAUGAGGCCUCCCCAG
rnacentral:lncRNA from 1 species